UACGUAGGGGGCAAGCGUUGUCCGGAAUUAUUGGGCGUAAAGAGCUCGUAGGCGGUCAGUCGCGUCUGCUGUGAAAACUCGGGGCUUAACUCCGGGCCUGCAGUGGGUACGGGCUGACUAGAGUGCGGUAGGGGAGACUGGAAUUCCUGGUGUAGCGGUGAAAUGCGCAGAUAUCAGGAGGAACACCAGUGGCGAAGGCGGCGAUCUGGGGAAGAUACUGACGCUGAGGUGCGAAAAGCGUGGGGGAGCAAACAGG
rnacentral:rRNA from 1 species